rnacentral:lncRNA from 1 species
GACACCUUUGAAGUUAGUUUAUUUUUAACGUGUUUUACAUUCAUAAAACAUAUUGUAAUAUUCUGUAAAAUGUACAAGGAGACCGUACAAAAAUUGGGGAGAAACCAUCAUUUAAGGAUAGACCAUUAUCAUCAUCAUCAACAUAAUAUAUACCUAAUGUGUGUUGUGUGUAUAUGUGGCGACGGCGUUUCAGGUAUUGUUAAAUGUCAUCUGCAUGGUACACCAUCCACGUACAUACACCUAUAGUAUAAUAGUGUAUACCUGUCACAGCUGUUAAUUAGUGACAUAUUGUUUAAAUUUUUUUCUUCUAUACAGUAGAAAUCGAAUAGAACGCAUUCGGUUGUUCGCUGUCUCACGGAUAGCACACCCAUUUUCUCGACCGACGGGGAAUAUUAUAUUCGUACCUGAAAUAUAAUAAAUUAAAUAUCGGUAAAAGAGUUUUUCGUUCAUUUCACUAUAUUAACAAUAUUUAAUUUUUCAACUAUUGAUAAUCAAGCUGUGUCCACGAAAACAACAAAAUUAUCAUAUGGUAAGCAUCAAUUUAAUAUUAUACAUAAUUUACAUAAGUUUUAAUUAUUUUAGUCUGAUAAUUUAAUUAUUACACUUAAAAUUUCUUUACAUUAUUUUUUAAAUUAGGUAUAUAUGUUUUCAUAAAUUAAAUGGAUGACAAAAAUUAAAUAACUAAUACAAAACAACAUAAUUUGUAAUAGGGAUAGAGACUGUUCUCCGUAAAAUGUAUUUAACUUUAUAUUCAUAAUAGGUUACUGCCUAACUAUAGCUUAUAGAUAGGUUUUCAUAAAAAAAUAAUUAAAAUAAGAAUGUUUAAUUCUUAAAAUUAACUAUAAAUACAGUUAAAUCCCUAUCUAACAAAAAUCCUCGCUUAUUAAUUAAACAAUUUAUAUAUAAAUUGAAUAUUAAUUACUAGGUAAGUAAUAGAAGGUAGGCAGGUAUAAUAAAAAUCUGUAUUAAUUAUUAUUAAGUACUAUUGAUUAUAAUAGUACCUGAAUUAUUAGUUUCAAAAUUGAUUUUAAGGUAAACUAAUUAGAAAAAAAUAAAAAUAAAUUGAAGAAUAAACUCAAUGGUGAAAAAUUAAAUUCAUCUAUUCACAUUAAUAAUACGUUUAUUUUACUUUUAUUAUUUUAAUAGAAAGAGUGUAUCUCAAUGAGUAUUAUAAUUUAUAGUUAACUAGCCAUAACUCGAAUGAAAAGGGCCAAACACUUGUAGCCUUGGCGCCUAUUAAUACCGGCCUGGAGAAAUAUUUCAAAUUUCAAAAUAGCAUUAAAAAAAAGAUCAUAGAAAAACACUUCGGUGAAAAGCUAAAAAAUAUUGUGUGGCCCGCACGCGAUGUUGAAGGCUAACCAUGAUUCUAGGUAUAAUUUUAUUAGUUUAAAUGAAGGGAAAUAUUUGAUUUUUACCUCGAACAUGACUCAGAUAUUUAAUUUUUAAUUUUUUACCAAGUAUCAAGUUCGUUUCUUUCUGAUUUUAUUUAUCAAACAAAGCAGAAGAUAUAAAUACCAAAUUAUUUUAAUACCUGUUAAAAAUCUAUAGGUAUUUGCAAGCAGGGGGUGUAAUGUAUUAACAUUGAUUUUUAAUAUAAAUAUUAUGUUUAUAGUAUAUAUUAUAAAAUCAAUGGUUUAAUUCGAUUAAUGUUUUUGGUAAAAAUUAAAAGCUUAUAAUCAAAGCCGUGUCCUAGGUAUUUAUACAAAAUGAUUCACUAAGCGUGCUCACCCCCUUUUUCGGUUAAAUUUUGCAUGUAUUCAAAUUCUGAUUUUUGGAAUUUUUAAGUGUAGUUAAAGCCGAUAAUCUCUUAAUACUUGACUUUUCACAACAUUUAAGGAGUACCUAUCCUGUGGCGAUACCAAAUUUGAUUUAUCAAAUGAAAACCUGUACUAAAAAUUACAUAAAUAGACAGUGUAUUAUUUUAUAUAAAUUUUAGUGUCAACAUUUUUAAUUUCCAUCAACCCGUUAACGAGAUAUUUUACUUUUAAAUUUAUGUAGGGGAAGAGCAAUGGAGCAGUAAUAAAACGUCGCGCGUCGUGUCGGCCACACAAAUAAUACUACACUACUCUCCCUCUACCUAAACUCAAAAGUGAAAUAUCUCGUCAAUAGGUUCAUGGAAAUCAAAAAUUUUAACAUCAAAGUUUAUUCAAAGUAAUACUCCUUCUAUUUGUAUAAUUUUUAAUAUAAGUUCUCAUUUGAAUAACCAAAGUAGGCAUCACCACAGGAUACUCCUUUAAUGUUGUGAACAAUCAAAGUAUUCAAAAAUACCAGCUUUAACUACAUUUAAAAAUUAAAAUUAAAAUAUAUAAAAAAUUUAACCAAACAAAUGGGAUAAGCAUGCGUAAUGAAUCACCCUGUAUAUACGUUUUUAUAUUUAUAAUAAAUUCUAUAGUUUCAACGAAUAUACUAUACCGACAUACAGUCUAUAAUACAUUAAUACCUAUUGCAUAUUAUACUACGAUUACACAUAGGUACUUAGAAUAAUAAAUACCUAAAAUAUAAUAUUAUCUAUUUACCAAUAUAGAGUACAAAGUAGUAUAUAGUAGAUACAAAGAUCUAAAUAUUUAAAGAAUCAUAUGAAUUUAUAUUAAUGCAUUAGUUUUGUUUAACCACAUUUGUAUUGAUCAAUGAACAUGUAGUUGAUAUAAUAUAGUUAUAAAAUAUCAUUAUAUAAUAUAAGUACCUACCUAUCCAGUUUUCAAUUUGGAAUUUUCGUGUAUGAAGAUAAAGUAAACGAAUAUCAAGAAAUUAAAGUAAUUACCAUAACGAUAUACACCAUAUGGAUUAUACAUAUAUAUAGUUAGUUAAUUUAAAUAAUUGGCCGUGGAAUUUUUAAAAAUGAUUCAUUGAGCAUCAUCAUUGAGAUGGUUAAGAAUGUGUCAUAGACUCCUGUUGUCAUGGGCAUUGAACAUUAUAUUAACUCUGUAAAAUAAACUUUAAUAAAAUAAAAAAAAAAAAUAGAAAUCAAAAUAUAUUAAAAAUACAAAGAGGAAACUGCUAGACAUUUUAUAUACGUAAUGGAUAAAUGAGACGCUAUUCACAAACGUUUAUUAUUGCUGUGAAUUGCCCGUUAAGUGGACCCGCACGAUAGACACCGGCAUCCACACAUUCAAAUAUGAAACCUUCACAUACAGUAUCCUAUAAUGUAUAUAACGUUUUAUUUAAUAUUAAUUUGGAUGCAUUUGCCCUCUAACGAACAGCAUCCUGUUAUAUUAUACUGCCUGCAGUCCCUGUUACCCAUUUAUUUUCAAUUCUCUCAUCAAGUCGUCCCUCAUUCAAGCUAUUUGUAAGACUCAUAUAAUAUUUUACUAAGCCUGCCUACCUAUAAAAAAAAAAAUAGGCAAUAAUAGAUGUGAAUAAAAAUAUUCUUUUUAAAGAUAUAUAUUUGUAUUGCACUUGUAAUUAUUUACUAUUAUAGUAUCGGUAGGUAGGUUUUAUAAUACUUUUUAUAGUUUAAUUGUUUUUGUAGAAUUGGGUAGCAUAGAUGUUUAUAGAAACAUUAUACAUAGGUAAAAUAUUUAUCUAUGAAAUAUUUUUAUAUAAAUAUAAUAAUAUGAAUGCUGAUAAAUAUUAUUUUGAUUUAGCUAAGUAGGUAAUAAUUAAUAAUAGGUAGAUAAUAAUGGUAGGCAGAUAUACUUUCAUAAUUUAAAAUUGAUUUAGUUUCAGUUACAAUAUUAAACCAUUGACUACUUACAAUUAUUAUUAAAUUACUAACAAUUCAUAUAAAUAUUUUGCAAAUAAAGAGAUAAUUUAAAUACCUAUACUCAUGGCUAAAUAUAAAGGUAUGACCACAACUUUGUGAUACAAUAGCUGCCACUGGCAGUGAUUCCCGUUUUAUUUCUAUUUAGCUGGUAAUAAAUAUCACUGCCCGUUGAUUUUUCUCUCCAUAAAAAUGCUAUGGAAUAAACAGUUGUGAUCAUACCUAAUAUUUAUCCAUGCCCAUACUUAAAUGUCUAUAUAAUUAUCAUUGUAAUAUAGAAACUUAGAUAUCUGUACUGUUGUAAGAAUGGUGAAAAGGAGUAAAAUAUAAAAUAUAGUUUAAAAUGUGUAUAAUACCUACGUGUACGGCUUAAAUAUUUUGACAAUUUAUACAUAUUUUUGUGUCUUUCAGAGUUUCAACAUUAAUUUGCAUACGUUAUGUAUAUGUUGCACAUAUGUUAAUAUAUAGCUAAACACAGAUUCUUCAGCAUGCGGUGUCAUUGCUGACUUAUAUGCAUACAGCAAUAUAUUAUGCAUGCUAUCACACUCGUUUACAGUUAAUAAGGUCAAUUAUUUGUCAUCUGCAGUUUAAAUUGUGGCCCUGUACACAAAAAGACUUAUAGUUAAUAAUAAUUUUAUAACGAACGUCAUUAACUAUUGUUGACUUUUGGUUUUUAAAUCUAAAUUUUCAUUCUAUAUAGUAUGGUCCAUUAAUUUAUUAAAAACUAUUUUAUAUUUAAAACAAUUAAUCUUAGCAUUAAAUAGGUAGGUAGAUUUUAUUUAUAUUCAAUUUUCAUCGUACAAAUUAUGGAUCUUAAUUUUGUAUACGAUUUAAAGAGUUUUACAAAAUCAAACAACAAAAUAAAAUAUAUACCUAUUCUUUUGUACGUCAUAAAAACAUGUAUUAAUCAAAUAUAGGACGGUUGAAUUUGUUGUUUACUUUGAACACUGCAUUUACAUCUGUUAUAACAAGAGUUUUAAUACCUUUAGUACCAUGACAUAUUUACGAAUUUAUACGAGUUUUAGGUUUUUAAGCAAUUAAAAAUCUUUAACAGUUCUAAUAAAUUAUAAGUACAGUGGCACAACCAGAGGAGUGAUUUGAUUGUCUGGACACCCCCAACAUCCGUGUUUAAAUAAUAUAAAUAUGUUUAAAAACGUGUUUUUUUUUUAAUGAAGACAUGUGACACCCCUUUUAAAAAAUAUUGGUUGCGGAACAGUUACCUUCUAUUGUCAAUCUUAAAAAUAUUUGAUACUAAUAUUAAUGUGAAUACAAUUAAUACUUUAAAAUAAUAUAACUUUUUUUUGCAGGAUUUUGGACGUCAAUUGCAAACUUAUGCGAGUACACGACAAAAAAUUUGCAUUAUUGUCGACUAUUGUUUAUUAGACUGAAGUGUAGAGACUAGAGUGCUAAGUAGUAGCGCCAACGGUGAAUUGAAUUUAAAUAUGUCACCUGCGUACUACUGCUUACCAUUCUGGUCUCCUAAUUACAUCUUAUGAAUAAAUCUUAAAUAGAAUAAUUUUAAUUAUAACUAAUUAAUGGCUACGUAUAGUUUUACUUGUAUUCUUGUUAGUAAAAACAAAAUCAAAUACAGGUUUAUAUAAUGAAUUUAUUUUAUUUAAAGUCGAGUUAAAAUUGUCUUACUGUAAUUAUUAUAAUAAAUGUAUAUAGUUAUGUAUUGUAAGUAUUAUUUUCAACAAAUAAAUGUAAUAUAUACGAG